UGAAAAUAGAAACAAAAGAAACAAACAGAACACAAAAAGUGACUCCACUCCGAUAUUUUUUUUUCUCUCUCUCUUCUUUUCACUCUUUCACCCUUUUAUUCCAUCU
rnacentral:ribozyme from 1 species